CCCAAGUUCAAGAACAAGGGCUGUACAGUCUCCCACCGUGCACUACCAAGCCCCAUCAAUUCUACCUCCUCAAUUUCUCCUGGAUCGGCUCUCGUAUCACAUUCCAUAAAAUAGCAGGGCCUCACAAGUCCACUAUGGGGAUCUAGCCUGGCUUCCUGUUUAUGUAAAUGAGGAAAGAGGAACCCAGAAAGCUCUGGCUUACAGUUAGAGAGUGUUAAAGACUUUCAGAACUGCUCACCUACAGAAGACCGCAAAUUGAUUCCAUGCCUUUCUGAGCAGCUAAAACUCACGUCCAACUCAAAUGUUCAAAGAAACGGACAACGAAUACGUGAAUCAUUAAAGACAGUAGAUGGUCUAAAAGCCAAUGUGAUUUAUGUUAAUAUUUCAUAUUAAUGUUCAAACCCAGGAGGAUCUUGUCUGCUAAGCGCUUCCUUCAAAGCAAGCUGCAGAGCCCGCAUGGAGAAGAGUGAUCCCAAAAGUCUAAACGCCCUUCGCCCCCUUGAAAUCCUUCACCCGGUGAGAGCAGAAAUUCAGCAAAGCCAGAAUGCACAUAAAAAUUAAGCUAAAAGAACACCCCCCUCUAUUUCAGAGCUAACCAAACGGAAGCACAGAGAAGCUGCAGCUCUACAAUGAGAGCACUAUCUCAAUUCUGUUAAAGAACAAGAUAGACUAACGCUUAGCAGGAAUGGAAGAAGAAAGAGCAACUUUCUUGAGAAGCUGACGGGAGUCCAGGGCUUGGCAAGCUGCGUGACCUGGUAAGAUUCCUAUCCCUCAUUUGGGUUCAAACCGAAGCUGCUUGAGGGAGUUACUACGGCUCUGGGCAUACGCAGCUCCCUUCCUGGUUUUAAAUGGCCAAUUUUAUCCAGGUCCCACCAACUCCUCCCCGACCACCUCCCUCUCCCCAUCCACUUCCAAGUGCACUUCAUGCAAAAAGAGAAAACGAAGUAGCCCCGGACUCCACACCUGCCUUAGUAUCACUAGAAUCGGAUCAACUAGAGUGAACAAUCCACCCCACCACCAGGGGCUUAGAAUUCCAGGGGAGUGAGGAGCAGAACACUCUAAGAAAGGAAGCUUUCCCAAGACCUUCAGUUCAAUCCAUAUUCUCUCUCUCUGGGGACAAAGAAAAGGAAAAUUGACUUUCAGUGGCUUAUCCAAAAGGACACGUUUUCUAAGAUGGCUGAAAUAGGAGAAAAAGAAAAAAAAAAAAAAAA